AAUAGUAUGCCAUCAUUAAACAGUUUUUGACCUUACGCAGAAACUUUAAAUGUGACAGCAGAAAGAAGCAGCAGAAAUUUACAGUGAGAAAUGGAAGACCUCUGUAGGUAAAUAAGUAAAAUGAAAGAAGCCAGAGGUGUUUUUUGUUGGCAGUAGAUGAAAUUAUUUUCAAACACUGCCCUGGGAAAAGGUGAGCCCUCAGCAACCAAGUUUAUUGACUGUCUAUUCAGGAAAUUGUAUUAGUUGCUUUGGAAAGAGAAAGGAAAAAGAAAAGACUUUCUGCCAACUGAGGGCUGGAAAACUUGAGGGAGAUAAAGUAUUUACAUGCUUUAAUAACAUAAAGCAUGUCCAAAAGAAAUACAUAAUUACAGCUAUGUUUGGCACUGAAAAUAAUCCAGGUUAUUAUAUUUUUAAAAUUGUGUGUGAAUAUGUAAGUGAAUGCCCUUGAGUCAGAAAUGCUUGAGUGAUAAUAUUUCUUGAGAGAAUGGAAAAGUAGAUGGUAUUAGGAGCUAAAAAGAGAGAGAAGGGAUAAAGGAUGACCACUAGUUAAGAAGGAACAGUGAACUUUUUUUCUUUAGAGGGGACAUAUUUCAUAUGCAUAGUUAUUCCCCCUCUACUUCUAAUCUUAGUAUAAUAAGCAUUUAACUUCCCAUAGGACCUUAGCAGUCUGCAUGUUAUUACUAAAAGCCCACAGGUAAGGGAAAAUUAGACCCCUAAAUUAAAGACCUGACCAUCUUGCUCCUGAAGUUUUAGGUUUUCCAACUUUAUUUCCAGUGUAUCUUGGACAAAGACCCUUUGAGAGCUCAGAAAAUUAGGAGAUGUGGUCAACACAUUCUUCUUAAUAUCUAGUGCAACCAAAGACUUGGCCAGCAACUAAGGCCAGCAACUGGAAAAUGGGUGUGGUGUCAGGUUUCAGACGCCCCCAUAGUUGUCUUCACGUCCUUUAAUAUGUGUUGGCAUCCCUCAAGCCCUGCCAGUUUAUGCUCUUUCCUUUGUGAAGCCUUCCUGCCCUGCCCAGGAAAAAGUAAUGCCAUCCCCCAUCCCCCAUCCCCCAGUGACCAUAAAUAGCACUUUCUCCUUCCCCUGUUAUAGCACUUUUCAUACUGUGUUAGAGUUCACAUUUCUGUCUCUCUGCCUCAUUGUGAUCUAUUUGAGUGCCAGGAUUGUGUGUUAUUCUAGCGCUUGGCACACAGGAAGAACUCAAUGAGCAUUUGUUGACUAAAUCUAGACUCAAGGUCAUCCAAGAUAUUAUACAAAAACUUUUUCAUCGAACCAUUUGGUCUGCAUUGUGGAAACUGAAACGAAUGGCACUCCCCGUUAAGAGAAUCCCAGUGAGAAGCCAUAGCAUUGCAGGAGGAAGCUCAAACUGGUUAACUUUGCUCAUGCCGAUCAGUCUUAGAAUUUUUUGUAAUGUUUCCAUGAUGAAUUAGUUUCAGCUGUAUUUUUUUGGCAAAUAUUUAAAGAUAAUUUUUAUUUGUGUGGACUUUUCUUCUUGUCAGUUUGUCAUAAAGGUGUCAUCUUUCAUUCACUAACCCCUUAUCAGCUUAUAGGAAUUUUCCUCGUGGGUGGUUGCUUGUAACCUUCUCUUGACUGCCAGGGAUCUGAUAUACUAAACGGUUGAGAUACUGUGGUGAUCAGCUGCUUGUAAACAAUAACUGAUAAAUCGGUUAUAAAUUAUCAACACACUUCAGAUGACCAUAUCAUCAUGACUUGGUGAUAGCAAAAUAGACUUCUGAAUUCUCAGCUAAUCCAGGAUUGUGUCUUAACAAACAUUUAUGUUGAUUAAUCAGGAGGGUGUUUAGUUUAAGAAACAUGUACUGAAUGUUCAAUAUGUGAGUGCCAAGUGCAGUGUGGUGCAACCUGUUUACUGCUUCAGGUGAUCUCCAGAUAUCCUAAGGAAUUUUUAACUGUACAGCUUCUUUGGGGAAGGAAAUCCUAAGCCAACAACCUGAGGGUGGAAGUGUGUGACUGGGAAUAAUUAAAAUGCCUCACAAUGGUUCGAGCAGGAAUUCCAUAGGAAUGCACUUUAAGGCAUUUAGGAAAGCAAAAUUCCGUUUGGAUUUACUCCAAACCCUAUGACUUCAGAGACAGGAAUUUUUGAUGAUUAGUGGCUGGAGCCCCAACUUGUUAUUUAGUAAUUCCACAUUCAGUGUGGAAUUGUUUUUUCUGUAGCACUAGUUAUAAGUUCUUUGUUUGUUUUUCUAAAGGUUUUAAGGAGGUUUACAAAUUAAGAUGGAAUAAGACAUUAGAAACUUAAGGAUACAUAGCAAAUUAAAACCUUGAUACAUUUGGUGCUAAGCUUUUCAGCUGCUAAAGAUAGAGAGUUUUGGCCAAGAUAAAGUAUAUAGAGUCAAAGACACAUGCAGAAUUCUCCUGGAUAUAAGUUCAGGUACCUGUGCCAUUUUAUCACUUUAGUCAAUGUGCCCAUUUUCUUAGGGCAGGUUUAAUUUUCUGCUGCGGCAUGGCCCUUCAGCUUUCCCAAGUUUACGAUGCUCAUCUCAUACCUGAUGGAAAUUGUUGAUAAUGUUAGUGUAUGGUUGGUGGCUUUCCCAGUAGCCCACUUCAGAUCCUUUUAUUGGUCAUCACCAGUUACAAAAGUUUUAGGAAAGGGAAGGAGAGAAGCUGGAACUGAUGGCUAAGUAAAGUUAUAGCUGUAGAGCUCUGGUUGUCCAUAAUGAACAGUGGCAAUGAACAGUGAAGAUUUAAGCAAGGUUAUUUUUUGAGGGUCCACUGAUGAUUUUCCUAUAACUCGUUAAAAAUAUUUUUAAAACUUUUAUAUGGCUUCAUAUAAAAAAAGCUUAAAAAUCUGUUCCCAGACUUCCUAGGCAGGUAUGUUUUCUUUUCAGUGUUGCCUUCUCUAAGACUUUAUCAGCAGAAGGAGUAUUUGAGCUGAUGGCAAAUGCUGCCAAAAUGAGAAGUGUGUGUGUUUCUCAAAACUCAUGAUCCCACAGUUAAAUCGAGGGUGUGGGUAAAGGACCCAGAACUGUUCUUGCUGAUGGAAUAGCACACUUUUCCUCAGACAUUAGUAGAGUAAAUGAAUGGAGGCAGAGGAUUGGGAAACACUCUUGAAGGAGGGAGUGCCCAUCAGCCUGUAAGCCAAAGUAAACAGUUCUUGUAACUGAAAAAUAGACUUCCUGGAAGGAGAGAACCAGAGAAGUGGGUGUGAAGUGCAACCAGCAAGUACCAUUUUCAGUGAUACAGACAGCUGGCUUAACCUGAGUCCUGACAAGAACCUCUCAGAGCUAUUUGGGGAAAUCAGUUGCUUGAACCAGCCUUUGACUGGCCUAUCGUUCCUACAGCUGUACCCAAAGAUGGCACUUGGGGAGAAAAGGUCACAUUUGUUUGUGAUAGAGAAAGCAAACCGAUGGGGCAUUUUGAGAGGUAGAAAUGAAGUCAUCAUUUGCGGAGCCGGUGGACCAGCAGAAUGGCCGUGGGAAGGUAUCCCUGAACCUGUAUGUGUGGAAAUGCAGGCAUUCUCUGUCAGUCUUUUGUCACAGUGAGAAAAUGUCAUUACAGUGGACAGCUAUGCACACGUUGGAGAUUAUGUGAUGUGUGCAUGUGCAUCCAUGUGUACAACAUACACCCAUGCAAAAAUUGCUCACAGGGUCAUGUGCGUGUCCUGGUAGUCUGUUAUGUCCAUUCUUCUGUAAUAGGAGUAUGUUUUUCAAACUGAAGCUGUUAGGUUCUGUUAAUUCCAACAGAACAAAAAAAAAUCUGCCUCUGGCCAUCAUUCGUUAAUUUACAUAGAUUAGAUACAUGUAGUCUGUCUCCUAAGUGGCUUACAUAAAGCCGUGGGCGUCUUUUCCUGUGUCUCCUCUUCGGCAGUUCCUAAGGCACCUACCAGGUUUAUAGUUGCUGAUGUCCUACCCAUACUAUGUGUCAAGAAAGGUAGACUCAAAAAGGAUUGAUGCAGAUAUUCCUUAGAAGUUUUCAUGCCCAAAGAUUCUUGGACCUUAGUUGCAUGAGGGAAGAGGCCUUGCCUCGUGAAAGGAGACCGAAGCCCCUUAUUAAAGGGGUCACUCAGAAAAAGGUGUUAUCUAAAUUCCCUCUUUGUAGUUUUAUUUCUUCAAUGUAUUCCCCAUCACUAGCUGUGUGUGCUGGAGCCAAAUGUUGGGCCCACUGCCAUCUUUUAAAGAAUGCUACUGUAAAGGGAUAACUUUACUAGACAGUUUGGGAAAUAGAAGAAACAAUUAUCUAAAAUGCUCUUGUUCCAAACACAAAAACUAGCUUCAUGUUUUUGUGUAUAACCCUGCCUAGUCUUACUCUGUAGACAUCCUUCCCCCCACACCCAUCGUGUAUGUUUUUUAUCCCCAUCUAACAUUAUAUCAAAUACAUUGUCCUAUGUUGCUACCUUGUCUUCAUUAUUAUGAUUUGUCAAGCAAUUGGGUUGUACUGACUGCAGUGUUACUCCUCAUUUCCUUUCCCCCUUUCUUUUCCAUACUACUUAAAAAGCAAGAAAGGAAAAAAAAUUCUAUUUAAGAGAAAAUCCUAUGUAGUCGUAAUGGAAUUUAUUUUCCUGAGUGCCUGGGCGUGCUCCAAACAGAUAGCUGUGAUUGUGUCAUCUCUUCUUACUAAGCAUCUGACCACUCACUACCUGUGCAUCUGAUCCCUAGGCUCAUGGCAUGAGGGCUGUGGCUCUUGAUGUUUUUUUUUUUGAUGUGCUUAGUAUCACCAGAACUGUAUUGACUCUAAGAGUAUGGAAGCUUUGUAAAGUUAACUAACGAUUUGUAGGUUUUGUGCAAAUAGCCAGCUCUCCAGGUAGAGACAUUUUAAUUCUGUUGCUUUUUUUUUUUGUAGCAUAUUAUUAUAUUGCAGAUGUUUACUUAGUAUGAAAAAUGGAUAUAAUUAAGUUCUAAAUGGGUACUAGAUAUUAACUUCAAAAUGAAUUUGCAACUUGUAUGCUUUGCAUAUGCCGUAUGCUUUGCAUAUGCCAUAUGCUGUUGUUUCCAAGGAUGUAAAGCAGUUUUCCACUUCCACCAUCUUAUAAAUUAAAACCAGAGGGCUAGACGUUAUCCAGCAAGGGACCUACAAAAUUCGAAAAAAAACUUCGGAUCAUUAUCAGGAUUAAGUUUGUUGAAAUUGUAUCAGGAAAAUAGACUUUUCCUUGUAUUAUUAUUGACUCAUAUAAUGCAACUCAUACUGGUUUCAUAUUCAGAAGGUAUAUAGCACCUGUUGUAAUAUUUCAGGUUGAUUUCUGCAAUCUUUAUUUAAAAAUACAAAUCCGCAAAGCAAAUUGCAUAAACGGUAUACAAAAUGAAAUCACCAGGCUUCAAAUAUAUUUUAUGUAAAUGUUAAGUGCUCUUUAGAUUAGCAAAAGGAAGACAAACAUUUUGAUUACCUCUUUAAUACUAAAUUUUUGUUUCUGAAUUAUAAAUCUUUGAAGAUAUAAUUAGUGUAAGAUAUAUACCAAUCAACAUAGUCCAGAAAACCCUGAACCUGGCUGCUUAUUAGUUGGAAAGAGUACCUAUUUAGACUUUCUAAGCCACAGUAUGUGGCUAAGUGAUUAAUAUGCACUAUUACACUUUCACAAAUACUUUUUGGACCAACAUAUUGACUUAAGGGAGCAUACUUUGUACUAAAAAACUAAUUUGAAGGUGAAAUCACAGCAAAUUUAACAGUUCAACCUUGUGUAUUUGUAGAGUUUUAGUUGGAUCAUAGGAUAAUGACAUUAGCUAAAGUCAGCAAGCAUGUAAAAUAAACAUUUUGAAGUUUAAUAGUCAUUUAUGUUCUACAAUAAUAAAUAUUUGGCACCCACCAUAACCACCACUACCAAAAUAUGUAUGCUGAAAUUGUGUCUCCAGGAUGAAUAAAGAGGUGUAAGGCAAGCUGACACCCAUUAGAAAAAAAGGUUUAGAAAGGGAGAGAGGGCCUGGACUUCCCUAAGCUUAACCCCAACAUAGGGCCUGUAGCUCCUGUUGGAACCAAUUUAUAAAACUUCAAGGUGGGAAUCAAUAGAUUGUUUCCAGUGUUAUAUAGUUCCUCUUUAAUCAGUUGAUCUUCAACCAAAGCUUCAAGUGGUUUUUGUUUUUAUUUAUUGCCAAAAGCUUCUUAACCAAUGUGAUUAUAAAUGUUUAAAUUCAUUUACAGUGAAAUGGAUUUGUAUCUUCCUUGCUCUACAGUAGAUAGUGAAGCCUCCGUGACCUGUGUAAGCUGCAGGUUGAGGAGAAUGUUUAAACAGUAGGCGAGCGUUCAUACAGUGUCCCUGGACUGCAUUUCCUUGCUUACAGAGCCUUGGAGCUGGGCCAACUCGCAUGAGCGGGAGGAGGAGAGGCUCAGUUUUGAGAGCCCUGGGUUUAUUUCUGGCUGUGGGGAUACGAGAAUGUGGGAGAAGGUGUAAACAUAGUUUGAGGGAGGUCGUAGACUUGGAGGUUCUUGCCAGGGGUAAAUGCUGGCUGGAUUUGUUUAUGGAUGGAUUUGAUUAUAGCUGCUUCACGCUUUUACCUCUGGAGUUGGUGCUUCCAAGGGGUGAUGCUCAUUGUCUGGAUCUCCUUUAGUGGGCAUCUCAGAAUUCUUUGCUGCACCAACCACAGCAUUUCUUUUCCCUUUCUUUUGGUAUUUGUAUUCAAAUGCCUGACUUCCUGACCUGCUGUGAGGGUUUUUAAAAAUAAUGAACACCAAGCUUCUUGGGAAAAGACAGGUAUGUAAAUACUGCAAGCUUAUAGCAUUUGGGGGAUGGAGUUGUGGGAUUUUGGAGUUUGUGACCCCCAUGUGUCUGUGUAUCACUCUCUCUAAUGUAGAGAGACAGAGCAGCAGUUCCUGAGCUCUGUCUUUUGUCUCUUCAUGGGUUGGUCACUGAUUUCCCCUUUCAGGGUCUGAAUCCCUUUCCCUUGCCUCCCCCCAUGUGGGUUCCGGAAGGCCCACAUCCAACAGCUGCCCUUGGUCAACCCCCAGCCCUGCACACAGGUGUUUUCUGCUGUUCAGAGCUCAGGGGCGCUGUCCAGCCAGCUGAUGACAGCUCACUGGUGGCGCUGGUCUCACUCCAGUGCUGGCUCUGCCCUCUUGGCCCUGUUGCUUCCUCCUUGGAGGAUUAGUCACCCCAGUCUUGGGGCAUUUUACCCACCUGUAUGACUAGCACACAUUGCAUCCACUUGCCAAGGAGUGUUAGGGAUACAGUCUCAAGAAAACCUGCCCAGUAGAAAUGACUUCCUCUGGAGAAAUUUAGAUGAUAAAUUCCAUAGGGAGAAAUCAUGUUUUAUUAAUGAGAAACAAAAUCGUGCACUAGUGGGAGUUCAGGCUCAGAAGCCAGUGCAUAGUCCAGCCUGGCGACCUGGCAUGGUGUGUUACCCUGGCCAAAGCUCCCCAACCUCUGUUCAUGAUUUCCCUCUGUAAAAUGGGAAUAACAAUAGUAUCCAUUUCUUUUGGGUGGUUAUAAGGAAUACUUAAGUUAACUCAUUCAUGUAAAGCACUUGAAUAGUGGCUUGUAUACAGUAAGCACACAGUAAAUGUACAUUGUCAUUGUAUCUUUGUACCUCAACAUCUGAAACUAUGGUUUAUACAUAGCACAUACUCAUUCAUGCUUUGUUGAGUAAAUGUAAUAUUCAGAAGGUGGGAAAGUGAUUUCCUUCUCUCUUAUCAUAAAAUAAGAGUUAUAUUUGGUUGAAAUAAGGCAUCAUAGGCCUGAAGACAUUUACUCCCUGGCUGCUGGCAGGGGAGUAGAAUGUUCCAAACUCUAUGUUGAUAACUGGGUGCCUAUGAUUUGUUAAUCAUACCUAACAAACUCAGUCUGUCAGGUGUUUCAGUAAAAUUUACUGACUCCCAAGGUAAUUUUGAAAGGACAAAGCCAUCAGGUGAUUUGUUUUCAAUAAGCAUUAUUGGGAUAUUUCAGACUCCAACAUGUGCAGUGGAGAUAUUAACGAGACUUUACCCUUUCUAAACUUAGGGGCUUACUCUGCAUUGUAACGUAUGUUUGCUUUUAAGGCGAUAGAUGGGUAGAUAGAUGCUCUGUAAUUGAAUAGCCUACUGGGCUUCUGUGUAGCACAGCACUGUGUAAGUCGCAGGUGUUCAGUAAAUGUAUUUUAAAUCAAUGAGUAAUUGAUGGGAUAUUUUUCUUCACAUUACAUCACAUUGAAGAUGCUUGUGAGGAAGUUUUGUUCAUGAUUGUCCUCCUAGGCAGGCGCCACCUAACAUGUUUCUCUCUAGCUGCGGGGUAUUGAAUUUGAGGCUGCUCUCAGCAUUACUGCUCAUCUCAAAGAGGAACAAAUGGUCCCCCAAAUGGUCCAGAUGCAACAGUAGGGAAAGGAGUGCCACCAUUCAUUCUGAGGUGCCUGGGCCAUACUCUGGAUGAAGCUCACAGCUCUAACGUAAGGCGGUAAGUCAUUUUUUUUUUAAACUUAAGGAAGUUAAUUUGAAAGUUUAUGCUGAUGCCAUUUCAUAUGACAGAGACUAAAGGGUAUACGUCCUUGUGUUCUCUUGGUGGGGACUGCUGUCCUAAAGGUAAAAGAUUUUGAUCCAGAGGUUGGAUUGUUCCUCGUGUGGCAACAGUCCUCUGACCUCAGUCAUUUUCAAAGUCUAAUGUCUUUUUGGCUAACAAAAGACAUCAAGCUAGAGAUUAAAAUUUGCAGAAGAUGGGAGUUUUUUUGUUGUUUUCGGUUUUUUUUUUUUUUUUUUUUGAGACGGAGUCUCACUCUGUCACCCAGGCUGGAGUGCAGGUGAUCAUAUCUACAAAGGUGACAAGAACAUGAACCUGCAGUCCUGUUAUCAGCAUUUUGUCUCUGUGUUCCAGAUUUUUUUUUGUAACUAUGAAAUCCUUGCCUUGUAGUCAACUUAAAAUGAAAUAAAUUUAUCAGUGCAAAUGA